rnacentral:rRNA from 1 species
GACGAACGCUGGCGGCGGGCUUAACACAUGCAAGUCGAACGGAAAGGCUCCAACUUGCUGGUGUACUCGAGUGGCGAACGGGUGAGUAACACGUGGGUAAUCUGCCCUGCACUCUGGGAUAAGCCUGGGAAACUGGAUCUAAUACUGGAUAUGACCUGUCUCCUUAUGGGAUUUGGUGGAAAGUUUUUCGGUGUAGGAUGAGCUCGCGGCCUAUCAGCUUGUUGGUUGGGUGAUGGCCUACCAAGGCGAAGACGGGUAGCCGGCCUGAGAGGGUGAUCGGCCACAUGGGGACUGCGAUACGGCCCAGACUCGUACGGUAGGCAGCAGUGGCGAACAUUGUACAAUGGGAGGAAGCCUGAUGCAGAGACGCCGCGUGAGGGAUGACGGCCUUCGGGUUGUAAAACUCAUUCAGCAGAGACGAAGCGUAAGUGACGGUACCUGAAGAAGAAGCACCGGCUAACUAUGUG